rnacentral:rRNA from 1 species
GUGUCAGCCGCCGCGGUAAUACGUAGGGCGCAAGCGUUGUCCGGAAUUAUUGGGCGUAAAGAGCUCGUAGGCGGCUUGUCGCGUCUGCUGUGAAAGCCCGGGGCUUAACUCCGGGUGUGCAGUGGGUACGGGCAGGCUAGAGUGCAGUAGGGGUAACUGGAAUUCCUGGUGUAGCGGUGAAAUGCGCAGAUAUCAGGAGGAACACCGAUGGCGAAGGCAGGUUACUGGGCUGUUACUGACGCUGAGGAGCGAAAGCAUGGGGAGCGAACAGGAUUAGAAACCCCUGUAGUC